rnacentral:rRNA from 1 species
GGAGGGGGGAUCUUCGGACCUCUCGCUAAUAGAUGAGCCUAGGCCGGAUUAGCUAGUUGGUAGGGUAAAGGCCUACCAAGGCGACGAUCUGUAGCUGGUCUGAGAGGAUGGCCAGCCACACUGGAACUGAGACACGGUCCAGACUCCUACGGGAGGCAGCAGUGGGGAAUAUUGCGCAAUGGGCGAAAGCCUGACGCAGCCAUGCCGCGUGUGUGAAGAAGGCCCUUGGGUUGUAAAGCACUUUCAAUUGGGAAGAAAGGUUGCGUGUUAAUAGCACGUAGCUGUAACGUUACCUUUAGAAGAAGCACCGGCUAACUCCGUG